GUUUGCUUUAUGUUUUAAUUUCUUUGUAAUUUUUUCUCUGUGACACAGGUGGAGAUGCUGGUGGCAAAGUGGAUCCCACUCAUUUCUUUCUCCCACACACAUUCUUACUCUCUCCCUCUCUCUCUGUGUAUGUGCAUGUGUAUGUGUUUGUGUGUCUGUGUGUGUCCAUGUCGUGAUGUCACUGUACCUUUAAUUGCGCUGGCUGUUUGUAACUGUAUGUGUCUGAUGUUGAAGGUAUCAGAGGCUAGGGUCAGUAAGAGCUAGGACAUUUUUGUGCAUAACCUUUAAUCCCUAGGCGAUCGGUUCGGGGAACUUCUGGUCCGGCCGGAGUGUGAAUCUUCCUACCAACUAUCUGCCGAGAUCAAUUGGACUGCACAAGCCGAGAAAGCCUUCAUUGGACCAAAACCACACACACGAAGAUACUUCGCCUUCGGUGCCAGGCGUCUGGGUCCUGCUGAAGGUCACCAAAAGAAAGUGGACGGAACCAAGGUGGACCGGGCCAUACAGGAUCACGGAGAGGACGUCACACGCUGUCCGGCUGGACGGUAAAGGAGACUCCUGGUACCACUGGACCCAGUGUGCUGCAGCGGAAGAGCCACACCGCACCCUGAUUGAGGUUCAAGAGAACCUGUCACAAAGGGAGGAGCCUAACCUGGAAGAGAAGCAGCCGACAUCUGCCUGACCAGGAGAAGUACCCAAGGACCAGGACGAGAAGCAGCUGACAUCUGCCUAACCAGAGAAAGGAUCCAAAAACCAGGAAGAGAAGUAGCUGACUACAGUAGCAUGCCAAGCUGCCACCACAUCCUGCAGGACGAGAAUCUUGACAUCAUCACCCCCUGCAGCUGCCUGGAGCCAGUGAAAGGACCUCAACAGGGGGAAGAAGUAACCACCCUAUGAACAUUCUACAAGGGUUCUAUUUAACACCCUCAUUUAUUUUAGAAGGGUUAUAUUUAACACCCUCCAUUUAUUUUAUCUGGGUUCUAUUUUACACCCUCAUUUAUUUUACAAGGGUUAUAUUUUAUACCCACUACUCAUUUUAUAUUAUUAUUCAUUUACCUGUUUAGUAUUAGAUAUAUGUUUACACUCAUUGCAUUUCCAAACUCAAUUCUGAAUGUACAGAUUGAUCACCAUUGCCAUCUCUCCUCCACCUGCUGACCCAAUUAUCCAGAUGCCCUUGUUACUAGCCAAUCCUAACAUCUAUUUGGGAGGGGAACCCUCUGAUGACAGUGAUGACUCUCAUGAUGAAGAAGAUGAUGUUAGAGUGUGAGAAUGUUCAGUGAUUUAUGUAACAAUCCCUUCACCUGUUCAUUUCUAUGAGUUUUUUGAUUGUGUUGUUUUUAUUUUUUGAUCAUUGAUGUCCUAGGCAUGCCCACUCUGUGCCAAAAGGCGUUCGCCCCAAAAUGGGGGGACAUGGGGGAAUUUUCCCUAUUUGACGUACGAUAAUUAGGGUUUUUCGCCCUCAUACGGUGAGCAUGCGAUCCAUUCAUGUUGUAACAUGUUCAGUUAAAUAUAUGAUCAUGUUUUUUGUAUUAGUUUACUGCUAGAAAUAUGAGAAAAUGUAAUCUGAUUGAUUGUUUGUAUUUGUAUUUUAAAACUUUGCUUAUUAGAUUCAUUUUGAUGAUAUUUGGUGUUGUUGUUUUGAUUUCCUACAUCUUUGUUGAACUCUUAAAAGAGUUCAAAAGGGGGAUUGAAAAUAUAUGUAACUCUCAUAUAAGCUCUUUUAUUAUUCAUUGUUAUAUGAUACUUUUUUCAUUAUGGAAUCAUGUUAUAAUAUCAAAGGCCUCUAUGUGCUUCUCUCCUGCAUGAGCUCUAAACAGCUGCAGGAACUCCAAAAGGGAGUGAAAGUGUUCCUUCCUUCAGUUCCUCAAUACAAGAACAACUGUCUUUGUUAGCAAAGGAUGUUGCAGGAUGUGUCCUGGUCAUCUCAAGGUUGCAUGUCCUUGGGAUGAAUUGGUCUUUCAUUAACAAGGCUAUUAGCUGACGUGCGUCUACAGGUGCAGAUGGCAGAAUUACGUGUGUGUAUGGCAAACUGCGUAUGUUACAUUCCUGUGCUUUUCAAUAAAAAUCAGCCGUUUCAGCAGAACGGCGAGAGUCUGUCCGAAGCAACUGACGGGAGCAGGUCGCGGGACCUGCUGUAUGUUGCAAAGGCUCUCCCCCUCAUGAGCGGUGAAAACAGUGA